AAUCAUUUCCUGUUUCAUCAACUUUCCUUUAUGCUUUACUCAAAUGUCAUGAGAAUAAGAUAUUCUUGUAAAUUUAGGGUGAGUUUGGAUGGGCGGUGCGUUUAUCUGCGGUUAGUGUAAAAACAGCGGUGGCGGUAAGAUUAGAUACUGUAGCGUGAGACAAAAAAUAAGCUAAACGCACUUUAGGUCUCCAAAUACAUUCUUUCAGGCUUAUCGAUACUACUAUAAAAUCACCCCAACCCUAACGCAACGACAGUAAACAAAGGUUAA
rnacentral:lncRNA from 1 species